AUGAGCAGCUAUGUAUCACUGUGGUAUGUCUUCGGAGGAGGAACCCAACUGACUGUCACAGGUCAGCCCCCAGCAUCUCCUUCGGUGCAAGUCUUUGCUCCUUCUGAGCAAGAGAUCAAAAGCCAGAAGAAGGCCACCCUGGUGUGUCUCCUAAGUGACUUUCGCCCACCAGCUUUCAGCAUAAAAUGGAAGGUUGAUGGUACCGAGACCGCAUCUGGAGUGGAGACAACCAAGGCUACCAAGCAAGGUGACAAAUAUCUCGCCAGCAGUUACCUGACCAGGAGUGAGUCCGACUAUGGAGACCAUACAUACGUCUGUGAAGUGACGCAUAAUGGAAACACCUUUACAAAGUCUAUUUCAGGAUCUGGAAGUUGUUAACUCUGUCAUGAAUCUUCUCCUGACAACAGACAGAAGGAAAUGUCCCUUUUCUCAUUCCUUCUUUCCUAAAUUGAGCUUUAUCAUUAAUGUCUCUUUCUAUUCCAAAUAGUUACACCCUUUGUAUUCCCUCCAUGCUUUCGUCCUUCCAAUGGAUUCCACCCUCCCCCACUUUGAUCUGUUAGAUUCUACUGUCAGCACAUUAAUAAAGAUGGAUGUAUUUCA